rnacentral:rRNA from 1 species
UGGGGAAUAUUGCACAAUGGGCGCAAGCCUGAUGCAGCCAUGCCGCGUGUGUGAAGAAGGCCUUCGGGUUGUAAAGCACUUUCAGCGGGGAGGAAGGCGAUAAGGUUAAUAACCUUGUCGAUUGACGUUACCCGCAGAAGAAGCACCGGCUAACUCCGUGCCAGCAGCCGCGGUAAUACGGAGGGUGCAAGCGUUAAUCGGAAUUACUGGGCGUAAAGCGCACGCAGGCGGUCUGUCAAGUCGGAUGUGAAAUCCCCGGGCUUAACCUGGGAACUGCAUUCGAAACUGGCAGGCUAGAGUCUUGUAGAGGGGGGUAGAAUUCCACGUGUAGCGGUGAAAUGCGUAGAGAUCUGGAGGAAUACCGGUGGCGAAGGCGGCCCCCUGGACAAAGACUGACGCUCAGGUGCGAAAGAGUGGGGAGCAAACAGG